rnacentral:lncRNA from 1 species
ACUGACAAAUAAUGGAUCCAAUAUUUGGAUGCAAUCAACACUGACAUUAUGAGAGUUAAUAAUACUCUUUAUCCUCUGGCUGUGUGCUCCCCAUGGCAAGGGAAAGGAUGUUAAUUCAAUGUUUUUUUUUGUUUUUUUUUUUUUUUUUUUUUUUUUAAUUAACUAACACUCUAAGUAGCCACAAGCAUCUAGCUAAUGUUUUAAAAAUAAAAACAGAUCUUAGAGCAAAGCUGUUUGUGUGGCAAAAAGCCUCAAAAUUGUGUUACUAGCCAAACAGCCAUGAAGUUCCUUAAGUUUUGAGAGUCUGCCUUUGAAAGUUUAAGAUUAUUUUUAUUUCACUUUUCCUGGUUUUCUGAGGUAGUGAAACAUAGAAACUACAUGUAUAUGGAAUAUCAUUUACUUGCGUUGGUUUUGCUGAAAUGUGAGCAUAAACAGAUUUGAAACUUGUAGUUUAUGACCAGUAAGGAACAAAGUGGAGCAAGCAAACAGCUCAGCAGUUGCCAAUUUGUACAAGACCAUUUGUGUAAAACGGCAAAAGAAAUCUCUGGUCCUACAGGAUUUGAAAGCAGAUGAAAGAUUUCACCAUCUGCUGCUGAAGUGGGAGCACGAGGAAUCUGCCUGGCUCAGAUCUCCCCUGAUCAUUUUGCUGAAGAAGGUCAUAAUUCUGCUGAUGUCUGGACUGUGCUAGCCACCUCUUGCAAGCAUUUAUCUAAACUUCCAUCACUGAAAGCUAAGCUAAAGCUUAGACCAUUGGUGUAAUGAAUGAAUGGUCAACUCGGUGUUAUCCUGGGUAUUUGGUGGCUCCUACUGGAUUCCAUGGAUAUCAGCAUCUGAACUGGAUAUUCGCCUGGAAGCAACAAGUUCCCUCCAAGUUCUCAAAAACUUCUUGUAUGACUGUGAUCCAGUACAUGGAUCCAGGACACCACAUCUCUUGGUACAUGGGAAAUACUGAAAGGUGUGUAAGCUGUUGUGGCCUUGUCUACCAGAACAACCGUUGGACUGUUCAACCUUCAAAAGCUAUCACCAACUCAUCAUGCUGCUGUGGUGAUGACAGCAGGACCAUUUCCAGGGGAUGUCUCUUCUCAAGUGGUCUACUCCAAAUGUGUUGUCAGAAGGCUGUCAAGUUACUAUUGAAAGCUUGAAGGCAUUCCUGUGAGAACAGGAGGGACAAGGGGAUAAGUGAUGAUGGUAUGUCCUUACUUCACUGACAGUUUAAAUUCUGUAGCAUUAGACCUUGGCAAGUGCUAUGGCCAAGGAAACGUUUGCUGGCACUAAUGUUCUCCUAAAUUCUGAUCAACAACCUUAUUGCCUGUGCUGUUAACAUGUGGGAGCUCAUGGGUCAGCAGGGCUGGACCUAUUCAGACCCUGAGUAUUUGCUGAGGUGCUGUAGCAGCCAGCAAUAAACUAGGCAGUUUUCCAGUGUGUAACCA